CAACUUAUACAGAAUUGUUGGAAAUGAAUCCAAAUGACAAAAACUUGGAUCGGUGAAAACACAGAGAUUUUAUUUUGUUAAGCUGUUUGCAAAGAGCGGGGGAUCUCAGCUGACUUCAACAUGAAGUCUGAGCCAAGA